rnacentral:lncRNA from 12 species
UGCUUGUUUUUUUUUUUAUAAUUAAGUUUUCUUUUUCUCAAUUAUUAGCUCAUCCAUUCCAUACUCACAUGGCAUGUUUCUAUCUGUACCUGUCACACUGCUAGUUUAGAAAUGAUCACAUAGGUAGUACUCACAGACCUCAGACACAUACUAAUAUACAAUAAUGAAUUCUGCUACCUAUAAAUGUGACAAAAUUAGACCAUACAGAUGCAUAAAUUGGGAGGAGGCUAACAAUUAUACACUCUGGAGUAUUGGUUCAUAAACCACAUUUGAUGAUUUCUAUAAUCCUGUGGAGUACGUAUCAUCCUACUACCUAAAUGAAGAAAUGAGACUCACAGAGAUUAAACAUGCCAGGAUGAUUCAAACAAUGAAUCACUACUCCACUGGUUGGUCAUGUUCUUCUAACUUAACAAAUUAAUUUCCUUUCAGUAUAUCAUGUUUUCAGCAGCACAAACAUAUGGCACUUGUUGCAAUUUGGAUUCAAGAGUGAAAGACAGAAGCAAGAGUCAUGAGAGGUGCAUAUCCAAGUUAUAUGAAGCCAGAAAUGUCUGCAGCCGGUGGACAUUUGCCUGGAGGAAAAAACGAAACUGGCAAUACAGAAGAGUAGCAGUGACUAAUGAAAAGGACAAGAGAGAAGUGACAAUCCCUUCGAAUGGAGCUAUUAUCUACUUGCUUGUUCAGGGCUCCAGGCCUUACUGUUCCUGCAUUUUUAAUUGUUUACGGAAAUUCCUAUGGAGAGCUAUAUACUUUCCAUAGCUUCAUCCUUGGAAGUUUGGUAUUUGUACAAUUAAGGAUGGUGUGUGAUUUCUGUAUAGCAUUUUAGGACUAUAAUUACUCAUCUCUGAGACUCAAGAGAAGAGCUAUUAGGUAUCCUGCCUUCAUCUUGUGGAGUAGAGAAGAGAAUUUUUAGAAGUUUUGAAUUUCAAGUAUAAAUGGAAAUCAGAUUUCCUGAUAGCUUGGAAAAAUAGUUACCUGUGCACUUUAGGACCAAAAUGUGAUAGUUUUAAAAUAAUAUAAGGCAUGAGUUUUCAACUAAGGGAACUAUUUGAACAUUUAUAUUUUUAGGGGUCUCUGAGACAGCACAGAACUAGAAUUUGGAUUUCACUAGAAAUUACCCAACUCAGGAAAGCAUGCAACUGAACCUAUCAUCAUCAAGAACUGGUAACCAACUAACCAUAAGAAAUGUCUCCAUUAUUAUAUGUCUCAGACACAUUUCUUCUCUACCAUAAUUUUUUUUCUACCAUAAUUUUUUAUUCAAAUGCCCUGUUACUCUCCUGAGGAAAAAUAAAGCAGGUUUAAAAUUUAAACA